CCUACUGGAGGCAGCAGUGAGGAAUAUUGGUCAAUGGGCUUACGCCUGAACCAGCCAAGUCGCGUGAGGGAAGACUGCCCUAUGGGUUGUAAACCUCUUUUGUCAGGGAGCAACGCCGGCUACGUGUAGCCGGACUGAGAGUACCUGACGAAAAAGCAUCGGCUAACUCCGUGCCAGCAGCCGCGGUAAUACGGAGGAUGCGAGCGUUAUCCGGAUUUAUUGGGUUUAAAGGGCGCGUGGGGGGAAUGCCAAGUCAGCGGUAAAAUCGCGGGGCUAAACCUCGCUCCGCAGUUGAAACUGGCGUUCUUGAGUGGGCGAGAGGGAUGUGGAAGGCGUGGUGUAGCGGUGAAAUGCAUAGAGAUCACGCAGAACUCCGAUUGCGAAGGCAGCAUACCGGCGCCCAACUGACGCUGAAGCACGAAAGCGUGGGGAGCGAACAGGAUUAGAUACCCCAGUAGUC
rnacentral:rRNA from 1 species